GGAUGAUGUGGAUUAAUUCGAUGCAACGCGAAAAACCUUACCUACCCUUGACAUGUCCAGGAGCUCGAAGAGAUUUGAGUGUGCCCGAAAGGGAGCUGGAACACAGGUGCUGCAUGGCUGUCGUCAGCUCGUGUCGUGAGAUGUUGGGUUAAGUCCCGCAACGAGCGCAACCCUUGUCGUUAAUUGCCAUCAUUUAGUUGGGCACUUUAACGAGACUGCCGGUGACAAACCGGAGGAAGGUGGGGAUGACGUCAAGUCCUCAUGGCCCUUAUGGGUAGGGCUUCACACGUCAUACAAUGGUCGGUACAGAGGGUUGCCAAGCCGCGAGGUGGAGCCAAUCCCAGAAAGCCGAUCGUAGUCCGGAUCGUAGGCUGCAACUCGCCUGCGUGAAGUCGGAAUCGCUAGUAAUCGCGGAUCAGCAUGUCGCGGUGAAUACGUUCCCGGGUCUUGUACACACCGCCCGUCACACCAUGGGAGCGGGUUCCGCCAGAAGUAGGUAGCCUAACCGCAAGGGGGGCGCUUACCACGGCGGGGUUCGUGACUGGGGUGAAGUCGUAACAAGGUAGCCGUAGGGGAACCUGCGGCUGGAUC
rnacentral:rRNA from 1 species